UCAUAGCUCAGUUGGUAGAGCAUGAGACUCUUAAUCUUAACAUCGUGGGUUCAAGUCCCAGGUUGGGCAAAA